rnacentral:lncRNA from 1 species
AAUUUUAUCAAAAUUUAUUAGUCAAAAUGCUUCAUUUUCAUUCAACAAUUAUAUGAAACAUUAUAUUUCAUUCAUUCAACAACAAAAUGGAACAACUAAACCUACUAAACCAAACCUAAUCAACUUAAACUAGUCAACUAAACAUAAUCAACUAAACCUAAUUAAUUAAUUGAUUACACUUGAUAUAACUAAUCUAAUUAAUAAUAGAAAUGCCAUUACCAUAGUAAACUUAAUCAUCAUCUUUAAAAACUUAAUCUUCAAAUUCAGUUACUCCUCUUUGAAUUUGGCAUCAUUCACAUUGACCUUUUCUUGUUUUAACUUUUCGUGCAUAAACGAUAUUAAUUCCUUAGCUCUUGGAGACAUUUCUUCAUCAAACCAGACAAAGUGAUUACAUCACUUAUAUCCCUGCAUCUAAAAUUAGAAGAAAAUACUGAGAGAUUUAUGGAAAUGCAACAAAACUCAAGUUCAUGAAAAUAACACAACAAUGGAAAUAUAC